rnacentral:rRNA from 1 species
AUUAUAAUUUAUUAUAUAAAUUUAAUUUAUAUUUAAAAUUAAUUUUUAAAUUUAUAAUAAUAUAUAAAUUUUAAUUUAAAAUUUUAUUAAAUUAAUAAUAUUUAUAAUUAAUAAAUAAAUUUAAUUUAAUAUUAAAGAAAUUUAUAAUUUGUAAAAUUUAUAAUUUUAAAUUAAAAAAGUGCCAGCAAUAGCGGUUAAACUUUUUAUAAAAAAUUAAUUUAUUUAUUAAUAAUUAAUUUAUAAAUAAUUAAGAAAUAUUAUAAAUUUAAUAUUAAAUUAUUUGGUUAAAUAUUAAUUAAUUAAUAUAUUUAUAAUAAAAAUUAAUAUAAAUGAUUUUUAAUAAUUUUUUAAAUAAAUUAGGAUUAGAUACCCUAUUAUUAAAAUGUAAAAAAGAAAUAAUAAUAAAUUAAAUUUAAAUAAUUAAAUAAAUAAAUUUGACGGUAUUUUAUUUUAUUCAGGGGAACUUGUUUUUUAAUUUGAUAUACCACGAUAAGAAAUACUUAUAAUAUAAUAUUUAUAUAUAUUCAUUUUAAAAAAAAUUUUAUAAAAAUAAUUUUUAUAAUAAUUUAUUUAUUAAUAAUAAUUUAGAUAAAUAUGUAAUUAAUUUAUAAGAAAUUUAAUGAGUUACAAUAAAUUAAAAUUUAUUUAAUAUUUAUUUUAAUAUAAAUUAUAAUUAUUAGUAUUUGAAUGUAAAUUUAAUUAAUUAGUUAAAUUGAUAUUUUAAUUUUAAAAUAUGUACAAAUUGCCCGUCAAUUUAAUUAAGUUAAAAUUUAAAAUGACUUAUAAAGAGUUAAUUAUGUGGAUUUUAAAAAUUAAAUAAGUCGUAACAAAGUAAUGAUACUGGAAAGUGUUGUUAGAAAUUU